GCCGCGGUAAUUCCAGCUCCAAUAGCGUAUACUAAAGUUGUUGCGGUUAAAAAGCUCGUAGUUGGAUCUUGGAAUGUGUUCAAGCGGGUCAGCUUCUGGCUGUGCGCUGCUUGACGUGUUCUUCUAUUUGGUUUUGGUGCGGUGCGCUUAACUGCGUGUCGCUCCCGGCCGAAACGUUUACCUUGAAAAAAUUAGAGUGUUCAAAGCAGACCUGUUUGAGUCUGAAUAUUCGUGCAUGGAAUAAUGAAAUAUGAAUUCGGUUCUAUUUUGUUGGUUUUCGGAACUCGAGUUAAUGAUCAAGAGGGACAGACGGGGGCAUUCGUACUCUGCCGUUAGAGGUGAAAUUCUUGGAUCGGCGGAAGACGCGCAACUGCGAAAGCAUUUGCCAAGAAUGUUUUCUUUAAUCAAGAACGAUAGUCGGAGGUUCGAAGACGAUCAGAUACCGUCCUAGUUUCGACUGUAAACUAUGCCAGCUAACGAUCAGACAGAGUUCUCUACGACUUGUCUGGCAGUUUCCGGGAAACCAAAGCGUUUGGGUUCCGGGGGAAGUAUGGUUGCAAAGCUGAAACUUAAAGGAAUUGACGGAAGGGCACCACCAGGAGUGGAGCCUGCGGCUUAAUUUGACUCAACACGGGGAAACUCACUCGGCCCGGACACAGUGAGGAUUGACAGAUUGAGAGUUCUUUCUUGAUUCUGUGGGUGGUGGUGCAUGGCCGUUCUUAGUUGGUGGAGCGAUUUGUCUGGUUAAUUCCGAUAACGAACGAGACUCUGGCAUGUUAAAUAGUCGCGGAAGUACGUAUGCACUUGCCGAAUUGACUUCUUAGAGGGACUAGUGAUUUUAAUUCACACGAGAUUGAGCAAUAACAGGUCUGU
rnacentral:rRNA from 1 species